GUACUUUCUAGAAUUUUCAGAGAGAAUAAAGUUUUUGCAUAUUGUUUGUUGAGAAAGAUAAUGUAUAUUAAGUUAUUGGUUUUGGAGAUUUGUUUAGGUUUUGGAUAAUUAUAAUGAGAAAAUACCCACCUAAGUUGGUAGAGUUACAUUGACCAUGUCAAUUUUGAGCUAAUUUAGUGUUUUAAUUAAUCGUGAUGGAUUAAAUGGCAAA
rnacentral:misc_RNA from 1 species